GCAAGUCGAGCGCCCACUUCGGUGGGAGCGGCGGACGGGUUAGUAACGCGUGGGAACAUACCCUUUUCUACGGAAUAGCCUCGGGAAACUGAGAGUAAUACCGUAUACGCCCUUCGGGGGAAAGAUUUAUCGGAGAAGGAUUGGCCCGCGUUAGAUUAGAUAGUUGGUGGGGUAAUGGCCUACCAAGUCUACGAUCUAUAGCUGGUUUUAGAGGAUGAUU
rnacentral:rRNA from 1 species